rnacentral:rRNA from 1 species
UUGUGGUUCAUGACUGGGGUGAAGUCGUAACAAGGUAGCGCUAGGGGAACCUGGCGCUGGAUCACCUCCUUACACGAUGAU